UGCGCUCGGUUCUCGGCCGGUCUCGGCCGGUCUCGGCCGGUCUCGGGAGGCCUCGAGCGGUCUCGGCCGGUCUCGGUCGCUACGCACGAAUAGGAUAUGCAAGAAUCCACAAGCGUCGCGCGCGAUCUGUUCGGGAUUCAGUUGUCAACUACGCACCGAAAAUAUAAAAAGAAAUCGGAACAGCGAUGACACGAAGUGGAAGAAAAGGGCGAGUCUUUCUCUUGUAACAUCGACAUGUCGAGGACCAAGUUAAAGCCAGGGCGGUUAUGUCAAGGACGGAAACGAUGAUACUGUCGAGAUGUGAUGUACUUCGUGGCCGAAGCCAAUGCUCGUUGAUGGUUUGCAGAUGUUGCAACGAGGGUGGAGCACUUCUGGCGACGACACUUUUCUUGAUCGAGCUAUCCCGUAUAGGACGACGAUUCCGGUUCUAUAGAAAUCGAUAUACGCGACGACGUAUUCGAUAACAAGAAAAUUUGUAGAGCCGCGCUACGACGCGUACAUUCGCACAAUUUUAUCGAAAAAAGUAUCCUUCGUUCUCAUAUUCGCCGACUUACGAACGAGCCUUCCUCGUUGUGUCGCGAAUACGGAUUAUAUUACUGAUUUAGCGAAACAAAUAUAUUUUGAACGCGGAA